AGAGCGAACGCUGGCGGCAGGCUUAACACAUGCAAGUCGAGCGCCCCGCAAGGGGAGCGGCAGACGGGAGAGUAACACGUGGGAACGUACCUUUCGGUUCGGAACAACCCAGGGAAACUUGGGCUAAUACCGGAUACGUCCGUAAGGAGAAAGAUUUAUCGCCGAAAGAUCGGCCCGCGUCUGAUUAGCUAGUUGGUGAGGUAACGGCUCACCAAGGCGACGAUCAGUAGCUGGUCUGAGAGGAUGAUCAGCCACAUUGGGACUGAGACACGGCCCAAACUCCUACGGGAGGCAGCAGUGGGGAAUAUUGGACAAUGGGCGAAAGCCUGAUCCAGCCAUGCCGCGUGAGUGAUGAAGGCCUUAGGGUUGUAAAGCUCUUUUGCCCGGAAGAUAAUGACGGUACCGGGAGAAUAAGCCCGGCUAACUUCGUGCCAGCAGCCGC
rnacentral:rRNA from 1 species